rfam:Joostella marina DSM 19592 genomic scaffold Joomascaffold_1, whole genome shotgun sequence.
UUUCUAUAUUUGGUUCAUCAAUGAGAACAAUUAGAAGAAAUACUUGGUGGUGGUCUAACUUACGUAAAACGUCGUGAGGUAGCAUUGCUGUGAUAUUUUUAAAAUAUACAAAAAGGCUUGUC